GGUUUAGCUCAGUUGGUAGAGCACCUGACUGUUAAUCAGGUUGUCGUCAGUUCGAGCCUG
rnacentral:tRNA from 3 species